CAUGUGCAAAAAAAAAAAGAAAUUAAGUCCGAUUUGCAAUUUCCAUGUAAGUAGCACAUCAUCUGCACUCAGUGCAUCUUCAGGAUUUUUUU